AGACGAACGCUGGCGGCGUGCUUAACACAUAGCAAGUCGAACGAUGAAAGUAGAGAGCUUGCUCCUGCUGGAUUAGUGGCGAACGGGUGAGUAACACGUGAGCAAUCUGCCCCUGACUCUGGGAUAAGCGUUGGAAACGACGUCUAAUACCGGAUACGAACUGAAAUCGCAUGGUCAUCAGUUGGAAAGAACUUCGGUCAGGGAUGAGCUCGCGGCCUAUCAGCUAGUUGGUGAGGUAAUGGCCCACCAAGGCGACGACGGGUAGCCGGCCUGAGAGGGUGACCGGCCACACUGGGACUGAGACACGGCCCAGACUCCUACGGGAGGCAGCAGUGGGGAAUAUUGCACAAUGGGCGCAAGCCUGAUGCAGCAACGCCGCGUGAGGGACGAAGGCCUUCGGGUUGUAAACCUCUUUUAGCAGGGAAGAAGCGAAAGUGACGGUACCUGCAGAAAAAGCACCGGCUAACUACGUGCCAGCAGCCGCGGUAAUACGUAGGGUGCAAGCGUUGUCCGGAAUUAUUGGGCGUAAAGAGCUCGUAGGCGGUUUGUC
rnacentral:rRNA from 1 species